rnacentral:rRNA from 1 species
GAUGAACGCUGGCGGCGUGCCUAAUACAUGCAAGUCGAGCGAACAGACGAGGAGCUUGCUCCUCUGACGUUAGCGGCGGACGGGUGAGUAACACGUGGAUAACCUACCUAUAAGACUGGGAUAACUUCGGGAAACCGGAGCUAAUACCGGAUAAUAUAUUGAACCGCAUGGUUCAAUAGUGAAAGACGGUUUUGCUGUCACUUAUAGAUGGAUCCGCGCCGCAUUAGCUAGUUGGUAAGGUAACGGCUUACCAAGGCAACGAUGCGUAGCCGACCUGAGAGGGGGAUCGGCCCAACUGAAAUUGGGACCCGGUCCAGACCCCUACGGGAGGCAGCAGGAGGGAAUCUUCCGCAAUGGGCGAAAGCCUGACGGAGCAACGCCGCGUGAGUGAUGAAGGUCUUCGGAUCGUAAAACUCUGUUAUUAGGGAAGAACAAAUGUGUAAGUAACUAUGCACGUCUUGACGGUACCUAAGCAGAAAGCCACGGCUAACUACGU